rnacentral:lncRNA from 1 species
UAUAGUGUUGUAGUUUUUUUUUUUUUUUUUUUUUUUUGAGAUGGAGUCUUGCUCUGUCGCCCAGGCUGGAGUGCAGUGGCGCGAUCUCGGCUCACUGCAAGCUCCGCCUCCCGGGUUCACGCCAUUCUCCUGCCUCAGCCUCCCGAGUAGCUGGGACUACAGGCGCCCGCCACCAUGCCCGCCUAAUUUUUUGUAUUUUUAGUAGAGACAGGGCUUCACCGUGUUAGCCAGGAUGGUCUCGAUCUCCUGACCUCGUGAUCCGCCCGCCUCGGCCUCCCAAAGUGCUGGGAUUACAGGCGUGAGCCACCGUGCCCGGAUGUGUUGUAGUAAUGUUUAAUACCAUCUGAGUCUUGUCUCAAUCAGAAAACGUGCUCAAAUUACAGCUGAUAUGUGAGUAAUAAAACUGGGAAACGAAUCAGAUAAUCUCUUAAGACCGUUUUUCAGCCCUUUCCAACCGAGUAUUCAUAGAAACAGAAGAGGAACGUUCUAGAUGUAUAACAAAAAGCUGCCCAUCCCCACAGUGAAACCACUUUGAAGACAUCACUUUAAAAUUCAUGUGAAUUCGGCCGGGUGUGGAGGCUCACACCUGUAAUCCCAGCACUUUGGGAGGCUGAGGUGUGUGGAUCACUUAAAGUCAGGAGUUUGAGACCAGGCAACAUGGUGAAACCCCAUCUCUACUAAAACAGAAAAAUUAGCCAGGUGUGGUAGUGCACCCCUGUAAUUCCAGCUACUUGGGGGGCUGAGGCAUGAGAAUCACUUGAACCCGAGAGACGGAGCUUGCAGUGAGCCGCAGUCGCGCCACUGCACUCCAUACUGGGUGACAGAGUGAGACUCCGUCUCAGAAAAGAAAAAAAAAAAUGUGAAUUCAGUUGGGUGUAGUGGCUCAGGCCUCAGGCCUGUAAUCCCAGCACUUUGGGAGGUCAAGGUGGGAGGAUCACGAGGCCAGGAGUUCGAGACCAGACUAAACAACAUAGCAAGACCUCAUCUCUAAAAAAAUAAAUAAAUAAAAAACAAAAACUUGUGUGAAUUUGCAUUCUAUUUUAUAAUAUAACCAAAUGAUCUCGGCCUUCACACCAUCUUCUUGGAAACCUCUGCACCAUGAGAGCCUAGUGGAGGAAGCGAAUGCGCAGGCUGAAGCGCAAAAGAAGAAAGAUGAGGCAGAGGUCCAAGUAAACCACAAGCUUAUGCACC